GGAUAGGGCUGCAAAGCAACAGGCAUAAAUCACUCAGCUCUUCCCUCCCUGAGCUCCCUUGCAGCCAGCACAUGCACAACACCUCCCUUCUGGAUGAGGCUUUGGCAUGAGAGGCAGAUCCCAUGAAUGCUCCAUCGCGUUACCACAGCAGAGCAGCGCUUGGCAAGCUGAUGCAGGAUACUCCCUCAAGAAAACUUUGAAGGAACAGUGCUGCACGGCUGAACUAGGCAAUUACAAAUAUACCAGACACAGGGCUGAGACCCACCUCACUUCUGUUCUGCUGGAGUUCAUAGAAUCACCAAGGUUGGGAAAGGCCCACAGGAUCACCCAGUCCAACCAUCACCAACAGUUCUCAAGAGUUGCAGCACAGUGAAUCACUCCAACCUUCCCUCAAGGAGGGACAGCACAAUAGGAUCAGCCUCUUCUGCACUGCUCUGAAAUCACAAUUCAGAAAAUGGACAAAGUGGAUAAUAAAUUACUCUUCUUAUGCCAGGUAUUUUCCAUUUUGUGUUUUAACCGUUGUUGGUUCUUGGCACUGUUAAACUGUUAAUGGUAAAUUCAAAAGGAAUUGAGGACCUGGCUUCCUGGAUCGUAGUUUUUGGCUUUCCUGCACAAUAGGAUGAAGCCUGCAAGUCCCUUUUGUUACAUGCAGGUACCCAACUCUACUUCGUUACCAAUUAUCCUUCCUCAGCCUCUCCAUCCCUGUAUUACAUAAGGGUUCAGGUGAGACUCCUAAGAUAUCUGACUGCUUUAGCAUGUUUGGUUUUAUGUCUUUGUUACUUUAUAUCUCUCUUUGGCAGUUACAUCUACCUACAUAAUUGCUCUCAUUAAAAGGCUUAGUCAUGGUCUGAAGUAAGUGUAACCCACUGUUAUCUGUGCACUUAAGCAAAUUUCAGCACAGAAAAUUGGGGUAUCAUCUAAAUAUCAGACUACAGGAAGAUAAAACAAUCUAUACUGAAAAUCCAGAAUAAAAAGAAAUAACAGGCUUUGAAGCAGGCCUACCACCGAUUUCAGCUAUCCCCAAAACUGUACCAGGAAGGUUUUAAAUGGGUUUAAACCUCAGAUUUUUCACCUUUGGAAUUCCAGCCCUGUGACUGGUACGUGUGAGCUGAAAGGAGCACAGUCUGCACAGCGCAGUGCUGCAGGAGUGGCAGUUCUCUGAAACUGGAACCAGUCUUGGAAUUACAGUGGUGCUUCUUUUUCCAGGGAAAGGAAGGGAGUGGAAAUGGAAAAACAUCAGUGAGAAAAACCAAACAGGGCCCAAAAUUCAGAGCUGAGGAAGUCUGCAAUGGAGAAUCUAGUUGAGACAGCUGUGCUGAGGCUGACCUAACCUGGGGCUGACCAAGCAAGUUCCAUGAUGUCAUAUUUUGCUAUGAUGGGCCAUUAAAUUAAGUCGCUGGUCCAGACCUUCCUCCUGACACCUAUUAAAUCUACAGCUUUGGAGCUGGAGUUGUCAAGGUAGCACUGCAUCAGAUACCAGGGGAAUCCACGCACACUGUUACAGAAGAUUGCUGCUUGCAUAAAACCUCUUUGCUCUUUUCUUGAUUGUAUAUUCAGGAUAUAUUUUGCAGGCAUAGUCUACGAUUAGAUUAAACAAGCAAAGGAAUUAUUUAUUGCCUGUCCCACUGCACCUACUGCUUAACACCAGAUGAAACUAAAACAAUGGCUUCUGAGCUUGGGUCAAUAGUCUUCCUCUAUAGUCUACCCUCAAUUUCAAAAGCAUAGAGAAAAAAUGGUUAAUUCUACGGUGCCUGCGUUACAAAAAGGAGGAUUCAUUCAUAUUUACAGCAGCCACAAGAACUUCCAAAUAUAUAUUUUUCCAACCUGAAGGGUUUCAGUGACUUGUUCUACAUUUCCAUAGUAGACAAUAGAUCUCACAUAGCACUGUGAUCCAAUCUGCUUUUCUUUGCAGCAGGUAAUUGUAGGACGUUUUUAGGGAUACCUGUAACCUCACAACAUUGCCCUGCCUACUUCAAAAGAAGCUGUCAUCAAAAAGUAUUACCAGUCAAAAGAGUCAGUGAUGCAAUUAUCUUUUUAAACAAACCCAGAAUAGUGGAUCAAACGCACACUACUUUUGAUUAUCCUCAGUCAAGUUUUCUUUAGGGGAUUCUCUGAGCAUCUCCUUCCCCUCAUUCGAGUUAUCAAACUCUCAUUUCUAGACCUCAGAGAACACCUACACGCUCCCUUCUGCUUCCUUCUUCCCACAACCUGAAGUUAAAUGUGGAGCACUUCCUCUGCCACCACUCUUGAAGCCUCAGUGGCCCACCCAACAAUGCCACUCUGUGGCUGGACAGGUAGAGAGAUGUUCUUGCAAUACUCAUUCCUCUUGACAAAUAUCAAUUAUUGUGACCAGGUCUUUUAACAAAAUAAAUACUGACUAGCAGCUAAGAGACUGGCUACUGGCUGCUUCUCACCUCCACCAGGAGCCCUGAAGUGCAGGACAGAAUCCAGGAAAGAUUUUCUGGAAAAUGAAGAGACCCAAUAAAGCCUCUAAGCCCAGGCAAGUCAAUAAACUGUCACAGUUGCCCGGAAGGAAUUGGCUCGUCUUAGAUAAACUCACAAAGGCCCUGAAAAAACACAACUUUUUUUUUUUAAAUGGCAGAGAUUAAUUUUCUGACUUCAAAGUAGUAUUAAUGCAGAACUUGGCUAAGGUUUCCUGUGCAAGCAGUUUCCCCCCGAGCAAUGAUUUCAGAAUCCGCCUUGUUUUAAGGCUGGCAUUUGCUGCAGCUGCAGACCUGGAGUAUUUUCGAUCCCCUCUGAGUGCUGGAACACUAUCCAACAAUUAAACCACAACCCAAAAACAAUCAAACAUCUGUUUGGAGGAAGGCUGCUCAGUGACUGACAUUCUCAUGCCAGCAUAAACACGAAAGCUGCUGAGUGAUUCCUGUCUUUUGUGUAUAUAUGUAUACGUAUGCACCGCUUGUGUAUUUUUUGUUCCUGCAUGCAGAAUAUGUAAAUAUGCUUAAGAGCAUUUUUAUUGCAAUAUGUGGGUGUACUUGUAUAGCUUAUUUGUGGAAGUAUUUUCAUUGGCGUGAACACACAGAUUUGAAUGUCAGCUUGAGAUGUGGUUAUUUGUGUGCUGGAGGUGGUUUUGCAGGAGGCCAAAGCGAACGUGGAUUGGGAGUCUGCAAGCAGGUAUGUGUUUAUGCAGUGCUGCAUGUGUUGGUGUACGUUCAUGUACAGGUAUCAGCUUGAUUUCAUAUGGGCAAAAAUAGCAUUACGGCUGCAUGUAGUUUUGUGGAGAGGCAAGGAUUCUGAAGUGUUUGCAUGUGUGUGUGCACGUGGAACUGACUGCAGCAAGGUGUCUGUGCUUUCUGAUGGACAACUGUCCUAUGCCUGACCUCCACACUCUGCCUUUGAACUAAUCAGAUACUUGGGCUAUAGCAGCCGAUGUCCCUUAUUUUAAGCACCAAAAAGGGACAGACUGCUGGAAGCAGUUCAGAAUUGCGUUCAAAACAGCAGUGAGGUCUGGUCCUGAUGAAAUCCCAGCCUCCUAAAAGUACUGAUUUCAAGAACUCCCAUGGGAACACAACAGGGUAUUGAAGGAUGACUUGUUUCAAGGGCUUUGGAAACAGGAAUGAAUGCUGACAUUAGUUCUGUCUGUCUAGAGAGCAAAUUGCUCUCCUUCCUAAAAGCACUUUUCAGACUCCAUGCAGGUAACUCUUUUUGUCCUAUUUUAUUUAUAGAUUUCAAAUAAUGACGGCCUGGGUAAAGCAGUAUGCAAAUGACAUUCAUUCCCAACAGGAACUCCCUCUGUGUAAAACCAAGACCAGCUUUCAGAAAAUACAACUGUUCCCAAUCCAAGCCAAAUGACAGCUUGUGCUGCUCCCACUGGUUAUCCCCGAACCCCCAAGGUCCACAGACUGCUGCUUGCCAUUUGUGGUGUCUUUAUAUACCUAGAAAUAUGUGAGUCACCACAGCAGGUGCUAGCCAUAACCUGCUUGCCUGAAAACAUCAGUAUCAGAAGUGACAGAAUCUGGGCCACCCACUGGCUGUAUUUCUGGAGCAUCCCUCUGUCUAGGAGGGAGCAGCUGGAGAUCUUUGCUUUAGAGCAUUUAUCAAAUAUCCUGUUGCUGGAGUAUAAGAACACGCCAUCACAGGAAAGACAGACUUGAUGAUCUUCCCACUGUGAGCCCCACAGCUUAACUUAUUGUUGUAGGCUCCUAAUCUUUUGCACCAGCCCUAUUUUUCUUUUCAGCAGUUUAAGCUGAAAAAGUUUACUAGAUAAUAGAUUUGCCUCAGAAAUCACAGGAGGUUCUAUUCCUUAGCAGUUAAGCCAGAGUAAGGCAUGGAGUGCAGUAGAAAAGCACAGAGAAAUGGUAUUCUCCUGCCAUGCCCCCUGCCCAGGUACGCUUCCAUUUGAACUCUUGCAAACACCAGACUACAGCAUUGGUUAGGAUGCUUUAGCAGAUCUGGCGCUGAUGACACGAGACGCAGGCAGGCUGAGCCCUUCCCCCUGCCCUCAUGCUGGCCAUUUCAGUGCUAUUCCAGGACGAGCUCCUGGAACUCAGCAAUGCAAAGAUGACAUAAGUGCAAUGUUCAGAGGUUAAAGCUUCCAUCCAUUUCUGAUACUCCUCACAAUACUCAUUUCUUACUUCAUCACAAAUUUUUGUCCUCUUUUUGCACACAGAAGCCAUACAUCCUGACUACAAGAAUCAGCACAAAGAAAAUGUGAUGGAUGAUGCUCAUGUGUUUAUACUACACAGCUAUUCUGCUGCAUGGCUUCUCAGAAGCCAUGUCAGUAGCUUGCAUGGUCUGUGUGCUACUGAGUGAACAGAUAAUGACUCUUAACCCUACGUAACAUAUAUAGGAAAUACUUUUAAUAGUGGUUUAGUAAUGAUUGGCUGGGUUAGAAGGUGGUCCACUGGAAACGGCAGGCAGUGAGAAAUUUUUCUGAGAGGUUAAGAAGUCAUAGGAUCCACUUAACGCAUAUCAGUUACAUCCCUGACUUCCUAAAGCAUAGCCUAGGAAUAGCUAAGCUCCUCUUUUAACGCUGUAUGUGUGGCAGAACUGGUUCUACAAAAAGUAUAGGAUAAAGAAUGAACUACUGCUGAGUUUUUUCAGGGCCUAUUCAAUUUACACAUGUUGGCAUGCUGUCUUGUAUUUGUUGUUGUGGUUUAUGCAUUUUUCAUUAGAGUAAAGGAGGAUCCUAGGUGCCAAAGUGUUAACCAUCACUGCUGCUAAUAUUAUUUAGAUUUGCCCUGGGUUCAUAUUAGAAAACAUGCAGAAAAUUUACAAGUACAGAAAGUCUUCUCAUUCAUGGAUUUCUUCCAGCUCUGCUCAUCCCUUUUGUGCUUUCCAAUCCUGUGCUAAUUUAUAAGCACUGAUGGAAAUCAAAUCCUUCCUGGUUCCUGCUCCUUCAGUACCACUAACUAUGGCCCUGUUAAUCUGUCCUCCAAUGCUUGUAGCAUAUGAAUAUCUCGGAAUCACUGCCGCUUUGCAGGCUUCUAUGCUAAAUUAAAACACAGCAAAUACAACGUGUGGUCUCUCCGAUUCCAUACAAAGACCCUACAGUAACUCAGGAACAGCCACCACCUGACUCCAGUACUUCAGCUGCCAUGUCAUCAUUAACCUGAACCCGUUUUUAUCCACAGAUUCAAUUGAAACCAGCUACUCAUCAUGAUUUAUGAGAGUCUUUGGGACAGGAGCUGAUCACAUGUAAGCAAGUCUUCAUCUCUAAGAAGCACUCUGAGUUUCUAUUCUGACAAUCUUUGAAUUCUCUUCUUAGGAGUUGGAAAACACCACUUAGUAGAACUGGGAGGAGGUGUUACAUUCUUAAGCCACAUGUUACACAAGAUAUGUCUGCAAGCAAACCGACAACAGAAGGACUGCUCUUUAUUGUACAAUGCCAUGUUCACUCCUGACUUUUUCCAACACAGGACCCCUCUACAGGGCAUAACGCAAUGAUUAUGACAAAGGCACUUAAUCAACAUUAGCAGCUGCUCAAUUUCUAACUCUUGUUUUCCCACAAACUCCAUCUCCAGGAAAAUACAGAGUGCAACUCAAGGAAGCUCUCAGCUGUCCUCCACUUCGUGCAUUUCCAAAGCAGAUGUAAAACAACUUCUGGUCUCUCUUAUGUUCCUAUCUUGUUGAUCUGUGAUUUAUGACUGUAAGACCUUGGAACUUUGAACUGUUCAAUUCAAAUGCAUUCUUUUUUCGUUGUAGGAGUUUUAAGUAAUAUCUGAAGCUCUUAAUUUGUGGAUUAGCACAUUUACCUACACCACAAUUAGUCCAACUCUGAGAAAGCCCAAGACUAACUUUUGGUUCAUUACUCUGUCAAUCAAUAAGCAUCACAUGUGCUACCAGCCAUUCACCUAUAGGAAUGCUCCAGUUUGUUUCUACAUUCCCAGUCACCACUGAUUCAUCUGUCCAAGUCAUAUAACUGUUUUCUUUCUUGGUCAGUAAACUAGAUCAAAGCCUUGAUAUUUUUUAAGAAAAAUCUUGUAUUAAAGAGCAUGUGAGACCCUGAGAAGGUGGAGGCAAACACAUUUGCCACACCAGCGCUCAUCUCAGCUGACAACAGCAGCUUCCUGUGCUCUGUCCUGGGGGGAUAAGGGGCUGUUAAAUCCUCACAUCUGCCACCCCAGUGCACAGCUGUGAGUGGCUCAGGGAGAACCAUCCCUGCUUGCCCAGCUGCCCCCUUCUACUCACUGUCACUCAGCAAGUAACUAUUUCACAGGCCUCACAGAAAACAAUGGGAGCUUUCAGGAAUGAAAUAAAAUCUUUACUCUGAUAGGAAGGCAGCUGUGAGACACAUGAAAGCUUCUGCUUGCUGUCUCUUACUUGUCUCACAAGGUUCAGAUCGAAGGAGUCACAGCAAACCAUCUACAGUGAAACCCUUCACAAAGGUCAGUGCUGGAAAGAGUCUGAACAUGUGGUACCCUGCAGAAAGAUGUGUGGAUAGACAGAUAAACAGCUCACUGACAAGGUAGAUGGAUGCAGAAUGAGGAGGAGCAUACAUGGAAACAGAAUAUAAAAGGAAAAAAGUGAUCAAGAAAGCAAAUUGAUUUUCACUGUUUGUUUUGACAUCCCCAAAGAGGACCCCGUGAUCCUGAGGAAAUCCUGAGGAAUCAUUGCUCUCACUGCUGAUAUUCAGCCACCUUUGGGGCAGAAGGCUGCAGCCUUUAACAGCACUCACUUAUCCUAUAAACCAGUUUAUCACAAACUCACCUCAUAUUAAGGUGCUUUAUAACCCUGGGGGAAAAGUAUCACCUGUUAAAGAGCAAUUACCUCUGCAUUUCCCUUUAGGGCUAUUUUCUCAUCUAAGAACUGAUGAGGUCCAACGCUACUUCAGCUUGCUAAUUAUUCUAACUUCAGGACGUUAGUGCUGCUGAUUAGGAAGUGCGCUGCACCCAGAACAUAGAUGAAUUUAUUUCCUACGGGUAUGCAAUGCUGCACACUUGCAGUGUACUCAUACAGCACUGAGAAGUUAGGAAAAUUAACCCAUGUGGUAAUGUGCCCAGAUGCCUUCCAAUAGCUAGGAGGUCAUAUUUAAACGUUUAUUCCACCCGAUGACAAAUCUGAAUUCACAUCCUUAUACUGUCCUUCUGUCUCCUACCACCUCACUUCCCAGCUCCUGUACUCUCCCUGAGGCACUUCUCUAUCUUUUCCCCUCCUUCCUCUCUUGCUCACACUGGACUAUAAAUAAGUCUGCUUAACACAAACAUGCUUGCUCUGAGUAGUUACUUAUAUGAAAAAUAAUACAUGUUUGUAAGCUUCUUUGUCUUUCCCUUCUUCUACAUUUCAGUUUUGAUUUUCUCUUAUGUUUUGAACAGAUUCCUAUUUUCUACGCUUGAAUAACACUCCUGAAAAUGCUUCUUGUUGGUGUAAAUUUGACCUGUGCUGGUACAGCACGAAUCCUUGCAUUUCCCCUGGUGUUACAUUGCAGGUAGGGAAUAAGGUUUUACUGCUGAUAAUACAGAGGAGUUCUUUAUCUUACAAGGUAAGGAUUCAGGCUUUCAGCUCGGAAGCUCAAGAGCUCAAUGCCAUUGAUGACCCAGGGGAGGAGCUGUGAUACAGGAUCCCAUCACUGAUUUCCACGCUGCCAUCUCAUCAUCAAGUAGUCGAAACCCUUAACCCAUGUGAGCACUUCACCAUGCUAGAGAACUCAGCUCCUCACAGAACAGAAAACAAUGACCACUUGUUAAGCAUUUGUUUGAAAGAGGAAGAAAAAGAGUAUUACAAUGAGUGAUUUCAAUCUCUGUGCUGUCAGCUGAAGGUUCCAUGCUGCCAGAAACAAACAAAUGUAUUCCCUGUUUACAAAUGAUACCAAACAUUUUUAACCUCAAAGACUUUUGUAUCUUAUGUUGGGGAUUUUUUGGCGAGUGAAAAGAAAUAACUUUAGUAUUUAAAAAGUAGCGGUAUUUGAGUAUUUCAUUUGAUUAUGUUUGUUUGAUAAUACACAACUGCUCUAAAACUGACAACUUCGCUAUGAUAAAAACAAAACAGCUUGGAGGAAAUAAAACACCAAUAAUAUUUGCAAACUACAUAAAAGCACUUAGUGGGAAAAAUGCUAUUUCACUAACAGUAAGGAAUGACAGGUUAGUUAAAAAUAGAUAAAAGCUCAUAAAACAAAAGGGAACAAAAGUCAUAUAUAUCUAUUAAUUACUAGGUAGCUAGCCUGACUGUGCUGCUGCUAGCAAAAGUGCAGCUGCAUCAUUACUGGAAAAAUGGGACAGGCUAUGUACACAAAUAGGGCUGGAGUUCAAGCAUGCCUGCCCAAAUCCUCUCUGCUACUCCAUUUAGUGCAUUCUUUCUUAUCAUUCAAAGGGCUGCAUUGAAAUGUGCUGAGCUUCACUGUGCUCUGGAUCAGGGUUAAUGCACGUCUGAAUCCUCUGAGCUGGAGAGCUACUACUUAAAGCCAGUUUUGAGCAUUAGCAGAUUAUUUAAAAAUACCUUUGGAUGAAGAUGUAACGGCUCAGAUGGUGUGCAAUAAAAAACAAUGUACAUCUAGAAAGCUGCUGAGAGCUCAAUGGUUGAACUCAUAGAACGUUUCCUUCACUUGGACUCCAUCAGCAAGCAAGCUCCUACCAGUUCAUCUCUUGCCUUCAUUUACAAAUGCAGAGGAUUUAGCUCUCAGUCUCACUUUGGAGUCUCCAUUAGGACAUCUCCCCAAGUUAUGCUUAAAUCUGGUUCUCAUUUGUUCUUCUCCUGAAAUUAUUCAGGCUACUGUCACUACAUGAUUUGUCUUCAUGACUUCCAAAGGAUGAGUGCUGAGAUGGGAUUUGGACAGAAGGAUAAUACUGAGAGGUGAAACCAGGAAGACCUACACAUUUCUCAAAGGGCCACAAUCAGAAUUCCUUAUUUCCAGAAACUGGCUUUACAUUAUUUCUUAACAGGAGAUAAAGCAAAUUCUCUUAGAAGACCAAAACUUUUCUUUUCCCCCCUGCAAAACUGCAAUCUUCCCAAAAUGCAACAACUCUGAAAUUCUUCAGCCUAAUUCACAGAGAAAACUCAGUCUUCCCAAGACCACAACUUUUUGCCUUGCUUGCACUUUGCUCCUCUGGGCUUGAUUGCUAUGCUAAUUAAACAAGACAUUGGUUAGGUUUUAACAUAGAUAUUCUUUUUUUUAUUUUGGUUUCAGCUUCUUGAAAGGUGUCCAAGAAUACCAGGCAAGGAAAUGAAAUCUGCAUCCCAAGGAAACAAUCCCUUUCCAAAAUUGUUAAUCUUUCCUUAUGACAUGUUUUGGAAUACAAAUGUAUCCAGAGGGGGUUUAUUCAGCAAUAUGCUGUGCUCAUGUAAGUGAUCAAAUUGGGGGUUUAUUGCAGUGGUACAUAUGUUAACAAUAACUCAAACUUUUACUCACCCUGCUUCACCACCACAGCUGCUCUUGGUUUUUCUUACAGCCCCACCCAGUGACACUUGGAACACAAGCAGAAACACGUAUGUAUUACAAGGAGCGAUGUUCUACAUUGUUAUUAGAGAACCGGGCUUCCUUCAGCAUGCAACAUUAUCAUAACAAACCCAUGACUACACACUUUAACUGUCACUACAUUGCCUUCCAUAUAUGCUGGGAUCAGCAGAAUUAGAAGCCAGGUCUGGUUGCUACAUAUCACUUCUGAUAAAUUUCUGCAUUACAGCAACUGAAGGCGACUAGAGAGCUUUGGCUGUGCCAGAUUCAAUCCAUUCAUAGGUCUGUUCCCCCAGCACGUUUCGUGAAGCUAUUUAGGGGUCAUAUGGAAAUGAAUGCAUGAAGAAGUGAAGAAAAAAGACAUAAUAUUAAACUCUGUAAGUGACUUUUAAGUGAAGACUUUUGCAAAAAGAAAAGACGUAGCAGGUAAGAAAUACAGAGGGGUAUUCUAUGCAUCAUACGGUAUGCAAUGAGAAAUGCUGAAUUUACCAAAAGCUACCAGCAGUUUUGGUUAUUCAGGUGAAGACAACUUAUGCCAAAAAUCUCAGGCAUCUUAAUGUCUCUUGAGACAAAGAUAAAAAAGCAUUCAUAAUCAGAAGUCAGCUCUUAAAACAUACAAUUGGUUCUUAUUUUGAGAAAAGUAGUAACAAGACUUUUUUUAUUUCUUUUUAAUCAAAACAUUGCUCAGAAGCCACAAGUCUCAGAUCAAGAACCAAAUGCGGAAUGCUAAGCGCUCACUAAGAGCUGGCUUGGGCAGCAUGAGUACUACACUAAUUUCUCUUUCAUUCCCUCAGCCCAAAAGCAAAACACAUUUUGCAGCAGCAUCUCAGCUGUUUGCUGAUGACUGAAUCCCAGGCAGGUCAAGAGAAACUUCUUGAACUUCCAAUUUCCAAGAAAGCCAACGAUCCAAGUGAAGUAAGAAGAAAGAAGACAUGCCGUGAAAGACAAAAAGCCUUCUUCAAACACAGCCCUUAAAUAACAGGAUGUGCAUGAAAUCCAAACUUCCUAAUGAAAUAAUUCCAAACCCUUUUGCAAGAAAGAACAGUAUUUUGAUGAAUGGUAUUUGUGACCUUAACGAUAAGCAUUAAUCUGUGCCACUUCAAAACCUCAGAAAAAAGUAGCUGGUAAGUGAGCACCUUGCUAACGAAAACCAGAGGAUGCAUCAUCCUAAUAAUCCAUGAGGAUAACCUGAGGGUAUUUUUUAACAUGACAGAGGCUGUCUCCUUGAGAAGAAAAGGUUAAAGACAACAGAGAGGCGACAGUGACAUCCCAACUACACACCUUAGUGAUAGCACAGCAUGCGCUUCCAUCAAACUACACGUGGGUUUCUAAAAUACUCUUUCACAAAUCAAGUAAUUUAAGUCCAAAUGAAGUUAAAAACAAACUAAAAAUUUGCAAAUGCUCUUCGUUCACAAAAACAUACCCUGGAGGUUUCACAAAACAGAAUAUUCCCCAAACGGCGCAAUUAUUCUAAUGAAUAUGCCUAUAGAAUAAAUGGCUGCUCAGUAGGAGCAACUAGUGAAGCAUAUUAUGGUGAAAAAGGUAUUUUGCAGGUAUGGCUGUAACUUCAUGAUACCAGCUAGAAAAGAUUCUGCAGGUCUACAGAAGGGCUGUAACGGUGCACUGCCAAGUUGCUGUCCAGGCAAAUUACACACGCACCGUGUGCUGGUUGCUGGAGAUGGUCUGCUCCGCAGGAGACAGGAUGCAUUGGCAGGCAGAAGCUGAGCAAAUUCCCGUUUGCACAAACCCACAUACAAUGGGAGAGAGAUUAACUGACAGCAACAGGGCUUUUCACAAGCAGACUUCCACCUAUAAAUUAGUACUACUGCAAAAUGAUAAGUGACAGAUGACAGGUUUUUAAUGAAAUCCAAUGGAAGAAUCUACCUGUCUUGCCCAGAUUCCUACACAUGAAAUACCCUCCUUAGCUGAAUCUGUACCUUGGUACAAUCUCUGACUGGUGCUUUGCAGGAAGUCAGGAUACUUGGGAUCAUCUGAUCUAUAGCUACAUGAGUUUCACUGCCACAUGUACUACAGCAAAAGGCAAAGCAGCGAUCAACAUACAGUGGGCAGACAACGUGGGUAGCGUCAGCUAUGGGUGCUGUGACAGAGUACAGCAAAGUAGGAACCACCCCUUCCAGUGAAGGAAUUCUGAAUAUCAGCCUGAAGUUACAAACAGAUUUUGCUGACUAAGAUAUGAAACAAGCCCAUUUUAAGUAGUUCCAGACCGAUCUGCAUAAAGCAUGCAGUCUGUCUAAUAACAUCUGAUGGGCUGCAAAAGCAGCCAAUGGCUGCAAAGGCCCAGAGUUCCACUGCUGGAUGGAAUCUUUGCAAAUGAGGAGAGCAGUGCUUAUGGUAGAGAAUUCACUAGGAGUCCAAGGGCAGCUCGUAUUGCUAGCAGCAAGGAAUAGUAAAACGGGAGUUCUGUUUGUUUGCUAGAAAGAUCUUGUAGCAAAAAAUACAUUGAAAAUUGAGAAAUAGCUUGCAGUGAUGAACUGGUAAAUGCAACCUUUUUACAGGGGAAUGCCAAAGCAGAUUUUAAACAUUUGGCAGUUUCUCAGAAGCUAGGGGAAGAUUAACUAUGUGAGGGAAAAAUCAGGCCAAGAAACUGAGAACAGCUUUUCAAAAUUAAGGAAAGCCAAGGAGGAACCAAGUCUAAAAAGCAUUUGGAAAGAAAUGUUAAGAUCAUUUCACUUAUAAGAGAUUGAUCUCAGAAUCAGAAGGGUUCUGAACUUGUGGAAGUGGGAAGGAGUCAAAGUUCAGAGGGGGAGCAGCAGAGCCCCAACCUCACAAAGACUACCAAGCAAGGACACACAGCAACCACAGCAAGCAGCAGUGCUCCCAGGGGUGCCAUGGCUAAUGUUGUCUGCAGAGAUGGCUCAUAGGAAUGUCACCAAAACGAACACCCGGCUGACAUCCCCAGCCUCCUCAAGUUUGGUAAAUCUGUGCUCCAGUUUCCAGUGCUUGAAACAGCCUCUGAACACCAGCUCUGCAGGCCUGGACGCAGCACACUGCAUCUCUGCUGCUGCAUUCGUGUUUAUGAAAGCUACAGAAUAUUCCUUUUUAUGCACUCAAAUAACUUUUAAUAUCAAUAGCACCCUGCUGCUAAGAAAUACAACUUAACGGCUGGGUAUUAUUUGUUUUGGAGUAGAAUAUUAUGUUGGGCAGUUUCCCACUGGAAUAUACCUCAGUGUUUUCAAUGUGGCUGUGCAUACCUUGCUUUUUGUAGGCUGUUACAACUGUAAAUGUAUUUUAAAAGCACAUGUACACAUAUGUGAAGGAGGAAAUGAGACCAAUAGCUUUUCAAGGUACUAGCAAUAGGAUUAGUUAGAACCAUGCGCUGACUUCAAAAAAUCUCACAUAAGAAAAUCCCACAUAAAACCAGUCUGUAUCUCAAAACUUCACUGCUACCCCAAGGGGGACGAAAAGGCACUGCAGGACGAAGUGAGAGGCAGCAGCUGUCCUCAAAGGCAAAGGACCUCAGGGGACCCAAACUAUAACGCAAACAUCACCUCUUGCAACAGAGCAGAAGGGAAAAAACUCUCCUUACACUUCAUUUGUAUCACUGUGUAUGCAUUUUUGAUUGAUUCUUAUCAAGACUAUUAUAUUCUACUUCUAGAAUAUGGCAAGUAACAGUGCAGGUAUCUGACUCAAACUACAGAACCUGACAAACAGCACAGCUGCGCCGAAAAUUACUAAGGUGAAAAGGUGGGUGAGAAAAGAGAAAAACUUAAAUAUGGUUUUAGGGGAGAAAAGCUGUUGCUGAAGUCUUUCCUACUUGAGAUGACUCCAAUAAAGCUAUUCCUUCCUUAUCAGUGAAACACAGUCAUCUACCUUGCAGAUCCUUCUCUCAUUCUUACACGCCAAGCACAAAGAUGGAAAAAUUGCAACAAAAUUCUAACUAAGGCAGCAAAAACUCUGCAUGGAAAGAACACAGAACAGAGGAUAAAUAAAGGUUGCUGGUAAAACCUGGAACUUGCUGUGUUCAGCUAAUCCUUCUAAGGAGUUUUUUCUGUGGAGUUAGAGCAGUGAUUGCACCAAUUACAGGCACACUUCUUCAUGAAAUAAAAAAGAGGGAGAAGGGAAGCGAAGCCAAAGCCUCUGAUUUUCUUCUGGCUGAUCUCAAACUGUAGGAAUUCCCCAAUCAAAAGAAUGCUCUGCUCUACCUAAGGAAAUUAUGUUGAUUAGAAUAAAAGCUCCAGAUGUUAACCCAAAACAGUUUGAAGGGGAGGGGAGAAGGCACGCGAGGUGACCCCACCCAGGGCAGGAAGCACAGUGAGAGCCUCAUACCCAACGCCUUGGGACACAGCCAGGGCUCAGCAGCUCUCACGGCUGUCCUCCUUCUCCCCCAGGCAGAUAUAGGAGCUUUUCCAGUUUAACCCCAACACUUCUUUGCAUCCUUUGACAUGCAUUCUUCAGAAAACAUAUAUAAAUCAGAAUAAAAGUUACAUUGAGAACAGUUUUGUUUGGUUUUGAUUUUUAAAUCCAGAAGCAGCAGAACAACUUAUUUCUCCUUGCUAUUUCCAUGCACUUCGUUCCUCACGUCCCCUUUAGGCUGGGUCUCGGUCAUGGACACCGAGCUAUCUCAGAGAGCACAAAGAGGGUUAAAAGGAAAAGCUCUUGCAGAGCAGACACUGCACUUACAGUGAAGACAAAUGUUUUCAUUUUUUGGUAUAGUUGAAGUAGUUUAACUAUUUGUGAGCUUUGAAAAACAGCCAAAGUAAACCAGAUGCUUGUUGCUCAGGGGUCAGUUACCAGCAGCCAAUUAGGGAAAGCUCUUCUAUUAGUCAAAUUUGUACUUUCCUACCAAUCAGAAUAAUGCUUCUUACAUUAAAUGUUUAGGAAAAUAAAAAGGAAAAAGAGUUAAAGCACUGUCACUCCUUCCUGUCUCAAGGAGGAUUAGUCGUCAUCUGAGUAAGGCUGCAAGAUCAGUGCCUAGAAAGUGAUUUUUCUCAAUCAAGCUUUUUUUUUCCCCCCCUGAAGAAUGACUCAGCUAGAAAUAUGGGAACACCACUGCCUGGCUCCAUAAUCCUGCAAACUUGAGCACGGCUAAACUAUGAUAAUACCUGAUAUGAAUAACAGAACAUGGCCAGUCCUGACAACAUCCAGAGUGAGAAACACAUGCCCUAAACCCAGCCUUCCUCCUGGAGAACACAUCCUACAUCACAGUAUGCUGCUUACAUUACACAAAAUGCAGUUGCUGCUGAGCAACAGCGUAGGUCUGGAUUUAUCAAAGAAUUUUCUCCCUCCCUUUCUGACUGCGUAUGUGCAGUUUCAUAGACAAAGUGCUGGUCAUGGUCUCACAUCACUGACUGCACCACAGAGAUCAGGCUCCUGCACAUCACCAGUUAAUCACAUUCUUGAGGGCUUCUUUGGAAAACGAAGCAACUCCAGUCUGCGUCCAUUGCUUCUCAAAAGCAUAAGCUAUGCCUUCUUCCUAUCUGAAAAAUUCUGACAGAUGAGCCCUAUAUUCACAUAAGUGAUGCACAUAGCAUUAGCAUACUCUAUGGAGAAGGCAUUUCUGCCCUACUCACAGAAUAUGUGAAAAUUAACAUAUGGCUGCAGACUGAAACAAGAGAAUUCAUAGGCCCGUCUCCUCCCAAGCCCAGCUCCUCCAUGCCUUACAGAAAUCUGCUGCAUUGGAGUCUUUUCACACAGUCUGCU
ensembl:lncRNA